CUUUGACAAGCAGAAUACGUACUGUUCUUCUGCUCGACAAUGGCCAAGGAUAGACAACAGAAUUCAGUGGCAAAGGAAGAAAGUAGCAAGCACCGGUCACAAACAGGAUAAAUGUUUUAUCGUUUGGAUAAGCAAUUCCUGGAUUCCUUCGACUUGUUCAAUUAUGCACUAAAACUGCCCAGCAGAGAGUACUCCAUUUUCAGCAAAGAAGGGGCUUAAUGUAGUCUCAGUUGAUGAAGAUCACCAAACAAAGCGUUCCUGUGUUCACGAAUGCCUCUUUAAUUUAUUCUGCUGUUUCCUGUGUGUUCCUUCUGCUGAUGUCAAGCCAAAAUAGGAGUUUGAUUUCAAGAUGGCAGAAUAUUACGCCGAUGGACAUUGCAUACAUUUUAAGCUUUCAACUAAACCAUGUCUAGUACGCUGGUCUUGCUGCCUAAGAUAUAUAUCCACUUUGCUUGAGUGAUCUGUAAUUGUGCAAGUUUUGUUGGACGUUUAUCUGAAUCUUUGGGUCUCAAACUUCUGUUCUUGAGCAGAUGCGUUCCUUCAGAAAAUAACUUGAUGUAACAGAUACAUGUAUUUGCAUAUAUAGAAGGCCGCUAUCCUAGUCGAUC